GGGAGCGGCUUCAACCCGAUCUCCCGGAGUGAAACCCGGCUGCUGCCGCGCUGAAAUCCGAUAUGAGGCGACAGACGCUCGGCGCGUCUCCGAGCGGCGCGUCCCCGCCCCACGCGGAACCAGAGGAGCGAGCUGGAGGUGUUUGGACCGGAGUGUGUGGCAGCUGCACGUUCAGCUGCUCCGAGCGUCCCUGCCUUCGAGCAAAUCGCCCGUCUGGCAGCUCUCCCCAUCACCUUCACUUCCUCUAGCUGGCUCGAACGCUGGAGACCACAGAGCCCCCCUGCCAAUGAAUGCCCGUUACCAUGACAACCACGCUACAAACCAGGGCGGGAUGCAGUGGAGCAUGGCAACAGUGGCCGCGAGCCAGGUCAACAGCCCGCCUCUGCCCCAGGGGCAACCGGCCCGUGAAGGGUGGUUACACGCUGACUCCAGAUCAGCCACAAGGAGAGCAGCACGACCCUUUGGCCCGUUGGGUCCAGAACUGUGAGACACGGGUCGAGGAACCAAUCACGGGAAGAGACCGAGCUGGAUCUAUUUUACUAUCGUUCGUCCAACCAAAUGAACGUGAACCACCUCAUAUCAAAACGCUCAAACUUCCCACUGGUGUUUGCAUCCACCCUGAAAAGCUGCCAACGGAACAGAGGGAGAUUUUGUGUUCUCGCAGCUUCUCUAGGUCUUAAAAUGUCCCACUCAAACAAACACUCGCAUCCAUCAGGGCACAGAAUCUGUCAACGUGUUUAAUCUGCAUGUGACUGCAGGGACACACGUGUCUGAGGUUGACAAGUGCUCAGUCUGCAGCUUUCAAACGUUCCUGAACCGAAGAUGGAAACUCGCUCUUGAACGUUGGGUUUGACUGAAGUCUGUAACGGACCUGUAAGCCCUGUAAUGGACCCGUACAAUCUAUAUUGGACCCGUAUGUUCUGUAACUGACCUGUACACUUUAUAAUGGACCCGCCCGCCCUGUGACGGACCCGUACAAUUUAUAAUGGACUCGUAUGUUCUGUAACGGACGCAUACACCCUGUGAUGGACCCGUACGCUCUGUAACAGACCUGUACAUCCUGGACGGGACCGUACGGCCUGUAACGGUGGCUGCAGUCAGCGGAUCCACCCUCCACGCGUGGUUCCGCUCCCCUUCCCUGCUCCCUGCCUCCCUCUCAGCCAGGUGGAGCGCUGCCAGUGGGAGCCCACCGGGCCGGUGAGGCUCCGGAACCGGAACUCACCCACAGUUUGGGCUCGUUCUUCAAACCACUUGAAACGGCUCCAGCUCAGCUCUUUUAUUCAUGAAGUGUCUUCGGCUGCUCCCAGCUCUUCGCUUUGUAUCGAACAGCUGAGUUGAUGUUCGUUGCGGCCCUUCGUAAGCGGCGUGGUUAUUUCUCAUCUCAUCAGCUUUUAAUGAACUUAAAUAUGUGGGGGUGUUUAGAUAAUAUGCUUGCAUAUUUAAUAAUUCAUAAUCCUUCGCUGUAAUAACAGGAAGAAACAACAAGUGGAGUUAUUUCAGACCUGGAAACAAAUCAGCUUUAUAUUGUAUCAUAACUAAAGUCUGUGUUUUGUUUUAUUAACUACAACCUUUGCUUGGUCUCAGUUACUAACUUUCUGAACAUGAAUUUCUUGGGGAUGAAUAAAGUUUCUUUGAUUUGAUUCACA